rnacentral:rRNA from 1 species
AGUUUGGAUCCUGGCUCAGAUUGAACGCUGGCGGGAUGCUUACACAUGCAAGUCGAACGGCAGCAACGGGACUUUCGGUCUGGUGGCGAGUGGCGAACGGGUGAGUAAUGUAUCGGAACGUGCCUAGUAGCGGGGAUAAUCUACGCGAAAGGAAGCACAUCAAGGCUGCCCUUCGGGGAAAGCGGGGACCUUCGGGCCUCGCACUAUUAGAGCGGCCGAUAUCGGAUUAGCUAGUUGGUGGGGUAACGGCUCACCAAGGCGACGGAUCCAGCUGGUUUGAGAGACGACCAGCCACACCGGACUGGAGACACGCCCAGACUCCUACGGGAGGCAGCAGUGGGGAAUUUUGGACAAUGGGGAAACCCUGAUCCAGCCAUCCGCGUGUGCGAUGAAGGCCUUCGGGUUGCAGCAAGCACUUUUGGCAGGAGAAGAACGGCACGGAUACACUCGCAACUGACGGUACCUGCAGAAUAAGCACCGGCUAAUCUCACGCGCCAGCAGCCGCGGUAAUACGUAGGGAGGGGCGCAGCACUGGAAUUACUUGGGCGUAAAGCGUGCGCAGGCGGUUCGGAAAGAAAGCAUGAAAUCCCAGAGCUUAACUUCGGAACUGCAUUUUUAACUACUUCGACAGAGGCCGAGGGAGGUGGAAUUUUAGCAGUGAAAUGCGUAGAUAUGCGGAGGAACACCGAUGGCGAGGGCAGCCUCCUGGGACAACACUGACGUUCGAUGCACGAAAGGUGGGGAGCAAACAGGAUUAGAUACCCUGGUAGUCCACGCCCUUCAAACGAUGUCAACUAGCUGUUGGGGCCUUCGGGCCUUGGUAGCGCAGCUAACGCGUGAAGUUGACCGCCUGGGGAGUACGGUCGCAAGAUUGAAACCCAAAGGAAUUGACGGGGACCUGCACAAGCGGUGGAUGAUGUGGACACCCGAUGCAACGAAAACCUUACCUACCCUUGACAUGUCUGGAAUCCCGAAGAGAUUUGGGGGAGUGCUCGUAAGAGAACCGAACACAGGUGCUGCAUGGCUGUCGUCAGCCGUGUCGUGAGAUGUUGGGUUAAGUCCCCGCAACGAGCGCAACUCCCUUGUCAUUAGUUGCUACGAAAGGCACCUGACGAGACUGCCGGUGACAAACCGGAGGAAGGUGGGGAUGACGUCAACCUCAUGGCCCUUAUGGUAGGCUCACACGUCAUACAAUGGUCGGGACAAGAGGGUCGCCAACCCGCGAGGGGGAGCCAAUCCCAGAAACCCGAUCGCAAGUCCGGAUCGCCCGCAACUUCCGACUGCGUAGUCGGAAUCGCUAGUAAUCGCGGACUAAUGCGUGAAUACGUUCCCGGUCUGUACACCGCCCGUCACACCAUGGGAGUGGGUUUUACCAGAAGUAGUUAGCCUAACCGUAAGGAGGGCGAUUACCACGGUAGGAUUCACACUGGGGUGAAGUCGUAACAAGGUAA